GGAUCCAGACUUUGAUUCUGGCUCAGGAUGAACGCUGGCGGCGUGCCUAACACAUGCAAGUCGAGCGAUUUACUUCGGUAAAGAGCGGCGGACGGGUGAGUAACGCGUGGGUAACCUGCCCUGUACACACGGAUAACAUACCGAAAGGUAUGCUAAUACGAGAUAAAAUACUUUUAUCGCAUGGUAGAAGUAUCAAAGCUUUUGCGGUACAGGAUGGACCCGCGUCUGAUUAGCUAGUUGGUAAGGUAACGGCUUACCAAGGCGACGAUCAGUAGCCGACCUGAGAGGGUGAUCGGCCACAUUGGAACUGAGACACGGUCCAAACUCCUACGGGAGGCAGCAGUGGGGAAUAUUGCACAAUGGGCGAAAGCCUGAUGCAGCAACGCCGCGUGAGCGAUGAAGGCCUCCGGGUCGUAAAGCUCUGUCCUCAAGGAAGAUAAUGACGGUACUUGAGGAGGAAGCCCCGGCUAACUACGUGCCAGCAGCCGCGGUAAUACGUAGGGGGCUAGCGUUAUCCGGAAUUACUGGGCGUAAAGGGUGCGUAGGUGGUUUCUUAAGUCAGAGGUGAAAGGCUACGGCUCAACCGUAGUAAGCCUUUGAAACUGGGAAACUUGAGUGCAGGAGAGGAGAGUGGAAUUCCUAGUGUAGCGGUGAAAUGCGUAGAUAUUAGGAGGAACACCAGUUGCGAAGGCGGCUCUCUGGACUGUAACUGACACUGAGGCACGAAAGCGUGGGGAGCAAACAGGAUUAGAUACCCUGGUAGUCCACGCCGUAAACGAUGAGUACUAGCUGUCGGAGGUUACCCCCUUCGGUGGCGCAGCUAACGCAUUAAGUACUCCGCCUGGGAAGUACGCUCGCAAGAGUGCAACUC
rnacentral:rRNA from 2 species